AAUAACGACUCUCGGCAACGGAUAUCUCGGCUCUCGCAUCGAUGAAGAACGCAGCGAAAUGCGAUACUUGGUGUGAAUUGCAGAAUCCCGUGAACCAUCGAGUUUUUGAACGCAAGUUGCGCCCAAAGCCUUUUGGCCGAGGGCACGUCUGCCUGGGUGUCACGC
rnacentral:rRNA from 1 species